UGCAAUUCUGGCUUUUAGCAGUCCCACCGGCAGAUCAUCUUGAUGCAGAGAGCAACAUCAACCCGCACGAAACAAGCAUUUGCACCACUGGGACACUUGAGCUCUCACCCCCUGCCACAACACCCUGAUAAAGGAAUACAUGGCCAGACUUGCCAUUUGGUCUCUGUAGUUUCCUCACCACUGAGCCAGUUGCAUCAAAACUCACAGUGGGGGUGGCCAAAUUAGGCAGAUGACUUGGCUCAGGAUCUCCAAAAUCCAUCAGCUUUAUUGCCUCUGAUGCCCUCCAUACAUGGGGUUCCUUUCUACCCUCACACAGUUCUUU